GACGAACGCUGGCGGCGUGCUUAACACAUGCAAGUCGAACGGAAAGGCCUGCUUUCCCUUGUGGAUUGCGGGUACUCGAGUGGCGAACGGGUGAGUAACACGUGAGUGAUCUGCCCCCAACUUGGGUAUAAGCCUGGGAAACUGGGUCUAAUUCCCGAUAGGACUGCAGGGUGGUGCCUGUGGUGGAAAACGAUUUUCUAGUGGUUGGGGAUGAGCUCGCGGCCUAUCAGCUUGUUGGUGGGGUAAUGGCCUACCAAGGCGGCGACGGGUAGCCGGCCUGAGAGGGUGGACGGCCACAUUGGGACUGAGAUACGGCCCAGACUCCUACGGGAGGUAGCAGUGGGGAAUAUUGCACAAUGGGCGGAAGCCUGAUGCAGCGACGCCGCGUGGGGGAUGACGGCCUUCGGGUUGUAAACUCCUUUCGACCGCGAGGAAGCCACCUGGUUGGAAGGGUGGUGACGGUAGUGGUAGAAGAAGCACCGGCUAACUACGUG
rnacentral:rRNA from 1 species